rnacentral:lncRNA from 10 species
UACUGAAAAAAUUUACAUUUCAUUAACAUUUUAAAUUACAAAGGCAGGUCUACAAAUACCGAUUUGUGUGUUUGUGUGUGUGUGUGUGCUCAUUGCAUUUUCCAAGCAAACAAGUGAAUAAUGUGCUAACUGUAUCCUUUGUUUUUUUAUUUUUGAUUUCUCUUUUUAUUGUAAAACGUAAGCUGUGAUGUGUAGUGACAUUAAUUUUAGUAAAACCUACUUUACGUUCUCUAUAGAUAAUAUGCACAUAAAGUCUACAUAAUGUUUUCUUAUGUAAUAAAUGCUUUGGGAUAAUGAA